UCUACCCGAAGGCGCUGCGCUAACCGCAAGGAGGCAGGCGACCACGGUAGGGUCAGCGACUGGGGUGAAGUCGUAACAAGGUAGCCGUAGGGGAACCUGCGGCUGGAUCACCUCCUUUCUAAGG
rnacentral:rRNA from 1 species